rnacentral:rRNA from 1 species
AUUGAACGCUGGCGGCAGGCCUAACACAUGCAAGUCGAGCGGUAGAGAGGUGCUUGCAUCUCUUGAGAGCGGCGGACGGGUGAGUAAUGCCUAGGAAUCUGCCUAGUGGUGGGGGAUAACGUUCGGAAACGGACGCUAAUACCGCAUACGUCCUACGGGAGAAAGCGGGGGAUCUUCGGACCUCGCGCCAUUAGAUGAGCCUAGGUCGGAUUAGCUAGUUGGUGAGGUAAUGGCUCACCAAGGCGACGAUCCGUAACUGGUCUGAGAGGAUGAUCAGUCACACUGGAACUGAGACACGGUCCAGACUCCUACGGGAGGCAGCAGUGGGGAAUAUUGGACAAUGGCGAAAGCCUGAUCCAGCCAUGCCGCGUGUGUGAAGAAGGUCUUCGGAUUGUAAAGCACUUUAAGUUGGGAGGAAGGGUAGUAACCUAAUACGUG